rnacentral:tRNA from 1 species
GGUGAGGUGGCCGAGCGGCUGAAGGCGCACGCUUGGAAAGCGUGUAUACGGGUAACUGUAUCGAGGGUUCGAACCCCUUCCUCACCG